AACGAACGCUGGCGGCAGGCCUAACACAUGCAAGUCGAACGGGAUCUUCGGAUCUAGUGGCGGACGGGUGAGUAACGCGUGGGAACGUGCCCUUUGCUUCGGAAUAGCCCCGGGAAACUGGGCGUAAUACCGGAUACGCCCUUUGGGGGAAAGAUUUAUCGGCAAAGGAUCGGCCCGCGUUGGAUUAGGUAGUUGGUGGGGUAAUGGCCUACCAAGCCGACGAUCCAUAGCUGGUUUGAGAGGAUGAUCAGCCACACUGGGACUGAGACACGGCCCAGACUCCUACGGGAGGCAGCAGUGGGGAAUCUUAGACAAUGGGGGAAACCCUGAUCUAGCCAUGCCGCGUGAGCGAUGAAGGCCUUAGGGUUGUAAAGCUCUUUCAGUGGGGAAGAUAAUGACGGUACCCACAGAAGAAGCCCCGGCUAACUCCGUGCCAGCCGCCGCGGUAAGAC
rnacentral:rRNA from 1 species